rnacentral:lncRNA from 1 species
AUUUUAUAUAUAUAUAUAGAUGACAUAAACCAAUUAAUUCUCUAAAUUUACUUAUUUUAUUUUUCUGUAAAGGUUUUGUAAAUAAGUCAGCUACAUUUGGUUUUCAUAUUUCGAUUUCAAAUUCUCCUGGAAGUUGUAUAAUCCAUAGCAUUUCCUGCAAUGCUUGUGCUAACGCCACAAAUUCUGCUUCAGUAGAUGAUGGCGUAACAUAAAUUGUUUUUGACUUGCGUAACUAAUUAUUGCAUCUACAAGUUUAAAUAGGAACCCACUUGUAGUUAACUCAAGCUGAGGGAAACUGAAAAAAAACCACAUGGGAAAUAAAAAUAGAAGGAUGAAAGUUACGGUGCAGGGCCUAAAUAACCCAGUACCGGCGGCAAAUGUUAAUCUACUCGCGAGUCACGUGUCGUCAUCCUGCAAUCGUGAGCAAAACACUACUAUGGUGGUGAGUACCUUGGCCUCUGUGGCGGACAAUGUGUCAAGUAUACAGCCAUACUUCGCUCAAAGGAACCUCAAGUCAGAAUCCGCAGAGUUUGAGUCACAACGCCAUGAAAGAUAUUCCAAAGACCACCACGUCGGCGAAAACAACCUCAAAGGUAUGGGUACCUCAAAAGAAUACCCGAAAAGCCAUUCUAAGGAUUCAAAUCCUAAAAGUGAGGAGGAAAUCACUCACUCGCCAAAAGACAGAACAGCAGUGCUGUCCAAAAUAAGGAAAGUGUCGAUUAAAACGACUACUUUUCAUAUGCAGUGCCAUCAAUGGCACCCACUGCAUCAAAAGCCACUUCAGGUUACACGGAGUGGUCAAAUCCAACAAGCGGGGAGGUGAUCAUUAACUCGCUAGAAGAAAAUUUAAAUGGAUGACAAUGACUGAGGUUAUCCAAAGAUAAUAUAAUCCAACGCUCUGAUGCCUAAAAUUAACACAGGGUCUCCACCGAGAACAUGUAUUUUAUAUUA